rnacentral:rRNA from 1 species
CAGUAGCCGCGGUAAUACGUAGGUGGCAAGCGUUGUCCGGAAUUAUUGGGCGUAAAGGGCUCGCAGGCGGUUUCUUAAGUCUGAUGUGAAAGCCCCCGGCUCAACCGGGGAGGGUCAUUGGAAACUGGGAAACUUGAGUGCAGAAGAGGAGAGUGGAAUUCCACGUGUAGCGGUGGAAUGCGUAGAGAUGUGGAGGAACACCAGUGGCGAAGGCGACUCUCUGGUCUGUAACUGACGCUGAGGAGCGAAAGCGUGGGGAGCGAACAGGAUUAGAGACCCCAGUAGUCCCUGUCUCUUAUAC